UACUUAUGGAGCGAGCGUUGUCCGGAAUUAUUGGGCGUAAAGGGUACGCAGGCGGGCUUUUAAGUGAGAUGUGAAAUCCCCGGGCUUAACCUGGGAAUAGCAUUUCAGACUGGGAGUCUAGAGUACUUUAGGGAGGGGUAGAAUUCCACGUGUAGCGGUGAAAUGCGUAGAGAUGUGGAGGAAUACCGGUGGCGAAGGCGGCCCCCUGGACGAAGACUGAAGCUCAGGUGCGAAAGCGUGGGGAGCAAACAGG
rnacentral:rRNA from 1 species